GUAAUCUGACUACCGUGCACACUCGUUAAAGUGGUGCCCUGGUCAACACAGCGGUGUUCCAAUUGCAGGCGCAUGGAACUAGACCCCGAGCAGGCCACAGAAGAUGAAUCGGAAGAGUUCGAUGCCGACGAAGGCCCAUGAAACACUGCAUCCUGCAGUGGCCAAGCACCGACUGUCGUGAAGUUUAUGAGCCCGGAUAUGAAAGCUUAUCCGCGUCUCAUACGGGAGGAUAUCGCGAAGUGCUGAGAUGCGCACAGGGAAUCGCCAUCCUGGCUGACGGACUCUCCCGCAAGCACAGGUGAGCACGCAAGACACCAUCAACUGUGUUGGACAUUUUAGUAUCUUGAAAAGACAGCGAGAGAGUCUUAGUGAUAAGCAAGUGAGGAAUGGCCGUAAAUGUCAUUUGAUGUGCUUUUCUUACACAUAUUGAGGGGUGUCUACUUGUGCCCAAAAUAUAUUAUACACCCAGAAAACUUGUUAUCCUCCUGCGUUAUGCAUGUGCAUGUGGGCACAGAAUGAACACAGUGGUUUAACAUAUUUUCGCAGUUGACUUCUGUUAACCCUGAUGAGACGAAUAAAAUUGGCUGAAUUAUCCAAUGAGUCGAAUUAAACAAGAGGUGCAUGGGCGAUGCCGGCUCUUCCAUGAACAAUCGAUACUCCCUGGUAUUGUGCUAGUGUUCUGAGUUUUGGUGCAGCCACAAUUGAAACAGCGGCUCUUCCAUCAACUAUCGACACUCAAUAGAGCAAGCGCAUUGUAUGCAGUACAAAUUUUUAAUAUUGAAAAAUCCAUCUCAACAAGCGCACGGAAUAUCCCAAUGCUACGGAUAGAACCGUAGAGCAAACAUGAAAUUGUAAGCACGCUGUUGCAUCCCUGAUAUAUAAUUUGCCCUUUCCCCACACCGUAGCGCGCGCGUCCAUACGUGGACCACGCUCCAUAUCAUGGAGGUAAUGUGUAGCAAGUGCAAAGGGCAAUCCGAUGCAGUUGGUGCCAUGAUGCACAUCGUGUUCCCGCGCUUUUAGUGUUUGCGGUCGCUUAAUCUCAUGUUUCAUAAUGCAAAGAGUUCGCUCGCGCUGUUACGCGUUGUUCUUGGUCAUCGACCGAGAUCUGUUCAUGUUUGCCUGAGCGUGCCUGACACCGAUAAAAUUGCGAACCUUACUUUGUGUAGUUGUCUCUGCUAUCGCCAUCAAUGCUCCACCUUUGUGGCAAAACUGACUUUUUUGUUUUGCUCGGGACAAAUAUGCGUAUCUUUCUACACUUUUUUGUGGGCGCCAUGUGAUGACAGCUGUGGGCACUAAGUGCAAUCAGCCAUGACGUCCAAGACUUACGGUGCAAUGCGACGCAACACAUGCAAAUCUCUCGUGCCAUUAGCCACACCGAUGUAUUGCACUGGAGCAAUCCGCACCACACGCGCUGGCAGUCAUAACCGCGCUAUUAGGGCCCAACCUUCUUGCACUUUGUAAGUGCUUACUGACCAGAUAAUAUCCACCAGGAAUGCUGUGGAAAUUUGACUGGAAAUCGCAAGUGCAGUGCGAAAGUUUCCAGUAAGAACCAUUUCUUUGAAAACAGAGAUGCUCGUGGUACUUCUCUCAUAUGCUGCUGCUUUGUUUUUUGCUUUCAGUGUCAGCGCCGUGAGAUGAACACAAUGUUACCGCUUCACCGCCUGUCGCAAUUCCUGUCGCAUCUACAUUGACACUGGACGAGGACUUUGCAAGAUUGUCUGCGUACAAUACCAGUCCAAUUUUCAGGCCAAUGCUGUAUGUACCGCACCGCCUGAGCACCGUCGUGGAGUGCACAGAAACGAGCAUCUAGGGGAGCACAACAACCACGUUUUGGCCCCCUCUUGGAGAAAUCGAGGAAAUUCUCAUUGUCAUUGCAAGGCAGGAAACAUUAGUUGAUGGAAAUUUCUGUGCAGCCUCACCAUCUAUAGCGUUAUGCCUGGAAGAGGAGGUGGAACAGGACUCGUUAUCAGAACAGCCGGCCUCGGAUACGCUCGCUUCCUCUACUAAACAUAAGCGGAGCAUCAUGCGAGCUGUCAAUGAUGGUGUUGACACUCCCAAGCGCACUUCGUGACCGCGAGGCAGAUAGAAAACGAAGUGUGUAAUGUCAACUAAUUUUAAUUAACAACAAUAACUUUAAUACUAAAAUGACAAGUAAA